rnacentral:rRNA from 1 species
UACGUAGGGGGCUUGCGUUGUCCGGAAUCAUUGGGCGUAAAGAGCGUGUAGGCGGCCCGGUAAGUCCGCUGUGAAAGUCGGGGGCUCAACCCUCGAAUGCCGGUGGAUACUGUCGGGCUAGAGUGCGGAAGAGGCGAGUGGAAUUCCUGGUGUAGCGGUGAAAUGCGCAGAUAUCAGGAGGAACACCGAUUGCGAAGGCAGCUCGCUGGGACGUCACUGACGCUGAGACGCGAAAGCGUGCGGAGCAAACAGG